GACGAACGCUGGCGGCGCGCUUAACACAUGCAAGUCGAACGGGAAGGCUCUGCUUUUGUGGGGUGCUCGCGUGGCAAACGGGUGCGUAACACGUGCGUCACCUGCCCUCGACUUUGGGCUCACCUCAGGAACCUGGGGCUAAUACCGGAUAGGUGCUCCUGCUGCCUGGUGGUGGUUGGAACAGUUCGGCCGUUGGGGAUAGACUCGCGGCUUCUCCGCUUGUUGGUGGGUUAGUGGCUUACCAAGGCUUUGACGGGUAGCCGGCCUGUGAGGGUGACCGGCCACAUCGGGACUGAGAUCUGCCCCAGACUCCUACGGCAGGCAGCAUUGAGGAAUAUUCCAUCAUGGGCGGAAGCCAGAUGCAGCAAGGCCGCGUGCGGGAUGACGGCCGUCGGGUUGUAACCCGCUUUCGCCGGUGACGAAGCGUGAGUGACGGUAAUGGGUAAAGAAGCACCGGCUAACUACGUG
rnacentral:rRNA from 1 species